rnacentral:rRNA from 1 species
AAUGUAUCGGAACGUGCCCAGUAGCGGGGGAUAACUACGCGAAAGCGUAGCUAAUACCGCAUACGCCCUACGGGGGAAAGCAGGGGAUCGCAAGACCUUGCACUAUUGGAGCGGCCGAUAUCGGAUUAGCUAGUUGGUGGGGUAACGGCUCACCAAGGCGACGAUCCGUAGCUGGUUUGAGAGGACGACCAGCCACACUGGGACUGAGACACGGCCCAGACUCCUACGGGAGGCAGCAGUGGGGAAUUUUGGACAAUGGGGGAAACCCUGAUCCAGCCAUCCCGCGUGUGCGAUGAAGGCCUUCGGGUUGU